UACGUAGGUGACGAGCGUUAUCCGGAUUUAUUGGGCGUAAAGCGCACGCAGGCGGCAGAGAAAGUCUGACGUGAAAUCUCCCGGCUUAACUGGGAGCGGUCGUUGGAAACUACUUGGCUUGAGGCGAUGAGAGGGGUGUGGAAUUCCCGGUGUAGUGGUGGAAUGCAUAGAGAUCCGGAGGAACACCAGUGGCGAAGGCGACACGCUGGGCCGUACCUGACACUGAUGCGCGACAGCAUGGGGAGCAAACAGG
rnacentral:rRNA from 1 species